ensembl:lncRNA
GGAUCUCAGGAGACUGACUCCUGAGUCAUAUUUACCCAUCUGGUUUUCUAGGAGCUAGAGCCUCACAAAGAAGUGAUAAUUGACAGAGGGAAAGCUAAAGAACAACAACUACAGAAGUAGAGAAACCAAGAAACUAAAAGAGGGAUUGUGUGAAGGAGAUUUGAGGAGAGUUAAAGACAAGAGGGACUGCCAGCUACCUUAUUACCCGGAAGAAUGACUCUUUGACAGCACAACCACAGCCUAGCAUCCACCAAAUUGUGCCUUUAGACAUGUCAAUGGCAUCAAGGAACUAAUCAAGACCAAAAGGCAAGGAAAAUGAGUCAAGUCACACAGCUAAAUACUUAAAAUCCAGUUUUCCUGGCUCCCAAUGUAGUCACCUUCCCACUGCCUGAUCUCCAAAGAACCCAGUGAAUUAUUUACUCAGUGACCUGAAUGCAACAACAUAUUCCAUGUAUUUUAAAAAGUGGAAUAAUAAAGGUAAGUACAC